rnacentral:rRNA from 1 species
AUUGAACGCUGGCGGCAGGCCUAACACAUGCAAGUCGAGCGGGGAAAGGUAGCUUGCUACCUGACCUAGCGGCGGACGGGUGAGUAAUGCUCAGGAAUCUGCCUAUUCUUGGGGGACAACAUCUCGAAAGGGAUGCGAAUACCGCAUACGACCAACUGUAGAAAGCAGGGGACCUUCGGGCCUUGCGCGAAUAGAUGAGCCUAAGACGGAUUAGCGAGUUGGUGGGGUAAGGGCCUACCCAGGCGACGAUCUGUAGCGGGGCUGAAUGGAUGAUCCGCCACCCUGGGACUGUGACCCGGCCCCGGCUCCUACGGGAGGCAGCCGUGGGGGAUAUUUGCCAAUGGGGGGAACCCUGAUCCAGCCAUGCCGCGUGUGUGCAGGAGGCCUUUUGGUUGUAAAGCACUUUAAGCGAGGAGGAGGCUACCGAGAUUAAUACUCUUGGCUAGUGGACGUUACUCGCAGAAUAAGCACCGGCUAACUCUGUG